UACGUAGGGUGCAAGCGUUAAUCGGAAUUACUGGGCGUAAAGCGUGCGCAGGCGGUUAUGCAAGACAGAUGUGAAAUCCCCGGGCUUAACCUGGGAACCGCAUUUGUGACUGCGUAGCUGGAGUACGGCAGAGGGGGAUGGAAUUCCGCGUGUAGCAGUGAAAUGCGUAGAUAUGCGGAGGAACACCGAUGGCGAAGGCAGUCCCCUGGGCCUGUACUGACGCUCAUGCACGAAAGCGUGGGGAGCAAACAGG
rnacentral:rRNA from 1 species